CAGCCACACUGGGCAGAGCGAGGAGUUGGCAGUGUGCGCCGGGAGGAGGAGGAAGCCCCUCCCUGGCAUACGCUUCCAGGUUCCUGGCCUCCAGACCAGUGAGGAAUAGAUUUUCUUUGCCCACAAGUCACCCAGUCUAUAGGAAAUGGUUCCCCAAAGGAACUAAAAUACUGCCCAGACUACCACAGCCUGCUCACUCUGAACAGCAAGCACAUGUACUAUGUCAGGGCUCUGGGGACCACAGGCCCCACCCUGAGGUUGCAGCAGAGCUGGUCUCUGUGGAGGUGGAAGAGGAAGCUGGUCCACAGCUUCCGGCUGCCAGGAGCUCUUGGUGUUCUGAGUGGUAGACACACCACUCAGAGCUCUGCUUGGUGUCACCUCUCCUCUGGGCAUGUCUGUGUCUCCUCCUGUUCUGUCCCUGACAAGGACAGUUGGUCACUGGGUUUCCGGCCCACCCUAUAUCAAGGAUGGCUUCAAGUUGAAACCCUAAAGUUACUUACACCUGCAAAGACACUGCUUCCAAAGAGGCCACAUCCACCACCGUGGGGGUAGGAUGUGGACAGAGCAUUUAGGGAUCAUGACGGUAUUCAGCCCACCAUGUAGGACUGUAGAGAGAGGAGACCAGGCUGGGGCAGAUCACAAACUGCACAGGGCAGGUCCUUGAGAUGGCUACAUGCACUUCUGAUUCUCGACUGAUGUGUGGCCUGGCCAGGGUGGUGUGAGUCCUGCCGUCUGUACAAAGGGCUUUGCCAUCUGACCAUGGACUUGCAGUGGGCAUCAGAGUCAACCGAAGCCACCUGGCUGACUCACAGGGGAAGAGCCGCAGAGCCAGGCUGGCCACCGCAGUGGGGGCAGAAGCUGUCAGCCAAGCCUGCCUAGCUCAGCCGAGUCCCAGAUGACCCCCAACAGUGAUGCCCAACAGAUGCCCAACAGGGAUAAAUUACUGUUGUUUUAAGCCACCGGGUCUGAAGGGGUUCAGUUUUACAGCAAUAGCUGAUCAAUACAGAGAUUAACCCACCUGUGUCAGAUAUCAGUAGGCAAAUAAAAGUAAGACCUUGGGAUCUGAGUAACACAGUGAUAAGCUCCCUGUAACAACCAUCCGAGGAACCCAACGUAAAAAAGAGACGUUCUUCUAAAUAACUGUGGAUCAAUCUCUCUCUGUCUGUCUCUCUCUUGCUCACAAAUGGCAGCUCAUUUUAAAACAAAUCUUAACUUUUUCUGAAAAAAAUCUAAAGGAAAAUUUCAUAACUGAUAAAUUAUGGCAAAAAAGGAAACUAAAUUUAACUCCCUCGAAAAGUUUUUCAUUCAGUUGGGAUAGAAAUGGGUUUUCCAAGAUAGUGAAUCACAGAGAAAACAAUCAGACAGAACUUAUGGGCUCACUAGAAAGGAAAGCCAAGAGGCCCUAUGUAUAAAAAUCCGUGGGGGUAGUCAGUGUCAUACUGAAAGAAUCACAAACCUUAUACAUUUAUUAAAAAAUACAAUAUUUUUAAAAUAUGUUGAACUGAUCUUUCAAGCAAGUAAAAAAAUCCACAUAAUCCCAAAAGCAAGUAAAUAAUAAAUAUAAAAGCAGCAACCAAGCCAGUGGAGCACUAAUAUGUCUUUUUCACUUUUAUUUUCCUUUCCUUUCCUUCUUUUCUUCCCUCCCUCUUUUCCUUUCUGUCUCUCUUUCCUCUCUCUCUCUUCCUGAGAGUGAAGACACCGUACAGAUUCAGUCAAGAUACAAUGAGGCCAGGCAGAACCAGCAAGGAAGCUCCUCCGCCCAGCCCACUCCCCGCCAUGCCAUAAGCUGUCCGACUGACGCAGGCCCGAGUGAUAAUAACUGAGUACGGAGGAAACCUGACAUUUGUGUUGUUUGGAUAAUAAUAACUGACAUUUGUGUUGUUUGAUUGACUGAACAAGCCUCGGGCCGGUAGUCUGACAACUAUUUGGAGGAUAACAAUGUGCACCGUUACACAUGGGAAUUCGGCCACUCUGUGCCAUUGUUGGGAUUCUUUCCAGAUGGAGGCUGAUGGGGCAGUGUCAUCCAAACCAUGCCUGCCACCACGCCAGAGAGAAGAGAGGGCUCUAGAGGAUCCGGCAUGCAUGGCUUCAGCAUUAUCUCAAAAGAGGAAAGACUGUCUCUCCAAAAAGAAAAUCAGUGGAUAAAGAGGUGUUCGAAACCUGACCGAGGAGAAUGUACUGCUUUGCUGAAUCAAAUGAUCAAGUACUGCCUUAUUUGUAGAAAGUUCUGUCAGUUUUCAAAGAUCAUAAUUUGAAAAAAACAUAUGCAAAAAGCAAACUACAUAAGAAGGAAUGUUUCAGAAAGACUGAAUAGUGGAUCUGUCAUCUCAGCAAAAUUGCCUCUAUUUUCCUGCAAAUGGUAUAAUUUUAUUCUUUAUGGCUCAAUCAUGUUCUUUUGAAUAUAUGUAUUAUAAUUUUCCUCACACAUUCAUCUGUUGGUAGGCUGUUUAGAUGGUUUAGUUAUUGUGAACUGUGAUGCCAUGAACAUGAACAUGCGUGUAUCACAAUGGUGUGUUUUUAAAAAAUAUUUUGGGGUUUAUAUCAAGGGCUGAUAUGACUGGAUCAAAUGCAUGCUCUGGUUUAGUUUUCUGAGGAACCUCCCUAACAAUUUCCACAGUGGCUGUGCUAACUUACUGUACCCUGCAGUGUAGAAAGGUUUAUUUCCCAUAUCCUGCAGCUUUCAUCAUCAUCACCACCAUCAUCUGCAUUCUUGGUGACAGCCGUGCUGGCUGGGAUGAGAUGGAAUCUGAGUACAGUUUUGAUUUGCAUUUCCCUGAUGGGAAAAGAUGCUGAACAUUUUUCACAUAUUUGCUGGCUAUUUGUAUUCUUCCUUUUGAGAAUGGUUGCGUUCAUUUGCCCUUUAUUCACUAGGUUUUUUAGGGUGUGUGUGUGUGGUCUGCUCCCCUCUCUCAGCAGAGUAUCUGACAGCGACUUUCUUGCAUUCUGUAGCUGCUUCCCCACUCGCGGUCCUCACUACUCCCUGGUGCAGGAGCUUGUUAGCCUCCCGUUUGCACGGGCUGAUUCUCACUCCUGUUUCUGUGUCACUGGGUCCGACUCAGGAGCCUUGCCUGUGCAGAUAGCGUCAAAUGUUUUGCCCAUGCAUUUCCUUAGAAGCUUCAGGUUUUGAAUUGAUGUUGGUACAGGGUGAGAGCUAGAGGCCUUGUCUCAAGCCCAGCUUUCCCAGCACGUUUGUUAGGCAGGCUCUCUUUUCCCAGCUUGUGCUUUUGAAUGCUUUGUCCGGAAUCAGAUGGUUGUGGCUGUGGGGUUGCUUCUGUGUCUUCUAUUCUGUUCCAUUUGUCUGUGUGUCUUUUUUUGUGCUGGUGUCCUGCGGCUGUUCUUACUGUGUCUCUGAAGCAUAACUUGAAAUCAGGUGUAAUAAUUUGGUGACGCCUCCAGCUUUCUCUUUUUGCUUAGGAUCGCCUUAGCCAUACUGGGUCUUUGGUGCUUCCAUAUGAAUUUGAGGAUUGUUUUUUCUAGUUCUGUGAAGAAUGUCAUUGGAAUUUCGAUGAGGACUGUGAAUCUGUAGAUUGUUUCAGUAAUAUGAUCAUUUUAACAAUACUAAUUCCGCUGAGCUCUGAGCACAGGAGGUCUUUAUCUUCCAGUUUCUUCAUUUUUUUUUCAGUGUCCUGAACCUUUCACUGUAAGUCUCUCACUUGGUUUGGUCAAUUCCAAGGCAUAGGUAUUUAGUUUUUGGGAGCCAUUAUUGAGUAGAAUUGGUUUCCUGAUUUCUUUCUCAGUGGGUUCAUUAUUGGUGUAUAGAGAAAAGCUAUUGAUUUUGUGUGUUGCUUUUGUAUCCUGCCUGUGCUCAAUUUAGUGAUUAGAUUUAAAGUCUUCUUUUAAGGCUUCUAAGACUCGUAUCAUCUGCAGGGAGGGAUAGUUUAGCUUCUUUUUCUCCUAUUUGAAUUCCUUUUCUCUCUUUCACCAAUUCUGCUGGUUAAAAUUUGGGUUUUAUUGUGGGGAGGUACCUGAAAUUGAACACACAACCUCAUGCUUACUAGGCAGUGCUGUGCCACUGAACUAUACCCCUGGCAAAAAUCUCAAGAACUCCAGACACAAAAGUGGUGUCCUUGGCCAGCCUUGCCUCACUCCUGAUUUUAGAGGAAAUGUUCCCAGUUUUCCUACUUAGUGCGAUGUUGGCUGUGGGUUUGAACACAUACUGUAGCUUUUAUUAUAUUGGGGUAAGAUACUUCUAUACCUAAUUCUUUAGGAGUUUUAUCAUGAAGUGGUGUUGAAUUUUGUCAAUGGCUUUUUCCUCAUCUGCUGGCAUGAUCAUUGCAAUUUUUAUCUUUGAAUCUAUGUGGUAUAUUACAUUUAUUUAUCUGUGUAUAUUAAACCAUCUUUUGAUCCAAUUUGGUCAAGGUGUAUGAUCGUUUAAAAUUGUUGUUGAAUUCAAUCUGCAAUAAUUUGACUUAGAAUUUUGGCAUAUAUGUGCAUUAGAGAUAAUGCUCUGUAGUUUUGUUGUUGAGUAUUUAUGCACUUUUGGCAUUCGGAUGAUGCUGGCUUCACAGAACAAACUUGGCAGCGUUCCUUCCUUUCCUAUUCCAUGGGCCAGUGUGAGGAACACUGGUAUUAGUUGUUCUUUGUAAGUCUGAUAACAUUCAGCAAUGAACUUACCUAGUUCUGGGCUUAUUCGUUGGGAAACUUUUUGGUACCAAACCAGUCUUGUUGGUUGUUAUUGAUAUAUUUAAGCUUUUUAUAUCCUCUGGGCUUCACUUUGAUAGGCUGUAAAUGUAUCUAUUUCUUCUGCUGUGACAUUUAUUAUUUCUUUUCCUUUAUCAGUUUGGGGUUUGGUUUGCUAUUGUUUCUCUAGGAUUUUGAGACUCAUCAUCAGGCUUUUUUUUAUUUAAGGAUGCUCUGCCCUUCUGAUGUAGGCACUCACAGCUCCACACUUCUCUCUUAAAACAGCUUUCACUGUGUCCCAUAGAUUCAAGGACAUUGUGUUAUCAUUUGAUUCUAAGAAUUUUUUAAUUUAUCCCAAUUCCACUGAUUGCUGAAAUAUAUAUCAUUCUGUUGC